CGGCUGUAGCUCCAGGGUGCACACGUCCAGGCCGCCCGCUGCGCGCCGCGCCCCUGUCCCCCGCCCCGCGCGCACCGGCCGCGCCACUGGCCACUGAGUAAGCUUAGUGCUCCAACGACCUCCCCGCCUCCCGACCCUCCACCCCUUUCCCCCUAACGUCGACCCUUGCGCCCCGGCCAACCUGCUGCCUCUUCUUCACCCUCCUCUCCAGCGCCGCCGCGCCCGUCUCAUUUUCGCACCGGGGAAGAGUCCCGAAGUGGACGCGAAGGUAACUCUUUGGUCCUAACCUGUGCGUGCCCCUCAACGCCCUCCACCACCUCAAAUGGCGACAUGACGACGGUGGCGUCCCCACCCUCCCCUCAUGCGACGGCCGCGCGCGCUACCGGCAGCUGCGCAGCUGGACAGCUGCCGGUGGGACAGCUGCGGCCGCGGUGCGGCAGAUGGGGGGCCGCGUAGAUGGGCGCGCCGUGCCUGCUGGCCGCGGGGGUCGGGGUCUCGCAGGCCAUGCCGGUUGGCGGCGUCAAGGCGCAGAUCCAGCGCAAGGGCUUCGAGGAGAGCGAGCUGGGCGCUGACCUGCGCCGGCCACGCAGGAGAGUCAAGACGAGCAAGACGAGCAAGCGGAUGCCCUGCCCUCCGGCUCGCAGGUCAGGGAGUGCAUCCUCUCUCUGCUUCCAAACCAGAAAUACAGUGUGGUCUGCUUCCAGUAGAAGGACUCGUCAAGCUUUCCUUAGUUAUGUAUUUUGAGUUUGUUGCCCCACCGUGGCGAUAUACUUUGUUAAAGUCAAAGAUGUAAAUAUUUUUUGGAGCAAUUUAUGCAAACUGCUUUGGUUCUUACUACAUUUCAAAACACGCAACUGUUUUUUUCUUUGGUCGUCAGGGCUGUUCUGUAAAAUGAUGAUUGUUCACAUUACCCUGCUUGCCAUUGCGUUAGAUGCACGAUGGGACAGUCAUGUCUGUAUAAACACUGUUACAGCAUGUUUGAGAAAGUCUCACACUUUGAGAUUGUUCCUUUACUGUACCAGUUGAAAUGGUAAUAAAUAAUCUCGCAAGUGUGCACUGAAAAUGCUAGACGCAGAUAUCUUUGCUCUCAGGAGAAAGCGAGAUCAGUGACACAAAAAAUUAGCUCCUCUGAGAGCGAGAUAUCUGACUGACUCAAUUUGAGUCCUAAUUUGCGAUCCUCGCCCAAUGACAGUGAGGUUUCACUAGAAAUUGGCUGAAGUCAGGGAAAUCUUACUCCUUCUGAUUGAGGAUUCGCGGAGCAUAUGACUCAAAUAGGCUGAUCGCGAUAGUCAUCGCCCUGAAUGGGCGAGGCAAAAUUGUCUCACUUAUUUGGAGCACGACCCCUUACUCAAAGGUUUUUAGUGAUAUGAUUGCCUCACACUUGCUGUAAACGUACGAUUCGAUGGAGUCAUGUUUUUUUUUCUCCACAUGCUUCUGCUUACAGUUCAAUAUUGUUUCAUUUGUCUGUAUGAAAAUCUGUGAUAUGUAACUUGCUUACUGCAUCGAAUAAAGCUGUCAUUCAUUACAACACAAGCGCUUGGAAAGUAGUAUGUACACUGCAAAAAUUGUGAAAAAUGACCU